rnacentral:rRNA from 1 species
AUUGAACGCUGGCGGCAGUCCUAACACAUGCAAGUCGAACGCGUGGCGGACUGGUGAGUAAUGUCUGGGAAACUGCCUGAUUGAGGGGGAUAACUACUGGAAACGGUAGCUAAUACCGCAUACCAUCAAAUUUUCCCAGAUGGGAUGAGCUUGUUGGUGGGGUAACGGCUCACCAAGCCGACGAUCCCUAGCUGGUCUGAGAGGAUGACCGGCGACAGUGGAAAUGAGACAGGGUGAAGACUCAGAGGGGAGGCAGAAGUGGAGAAUAGUGCACAAUGGGCGCAAGCCUGAUGCAGCAAGGCCGCGUGUAUGAAGAAGGCAUUCGGGUUGUAAAGGACUUUCAGCGAGGAGGCGUUACCGGCAGAAGAAGCACCGGUUAACUCCGUGCCCGCAGCCGCGGUAAUUC